GGGGUUGUAGCUAAGUGGUAGAGCGCUUGCCUAGCAUGUGUGAGGCACUGGGUUCAAUUCUCAGCACCA
rnacentral:tRNA from 1 species